ACUUAAAUAUUUUAUAUAAAUAAAAAUAUUAAUUUGUGGAAUUAAAGAAAUGGAAACAUUUUAAGUA